rnacentral:rRNA from 1 species
AUGGUAUCAGACCAUGCUAGGCUUAGAUUGUUUUCGGUACAAAGGAAAAACAGAGAAAGAAAGUUCCCCUCCCCCCAAAAGAACCCUAGAAGGGCAAAGAGAACAUGCGCCGCCGCAAGGCCGCGCCGUUCCUCUCGAUCCGGACGCGCAUCGGCAAGCCGAGGCGUCGGACGAAGAACUACCGGAGACAACUCAACGGUAUGCUGGCAAAGAAAAGAAAAAAAAAAGACAAAAAAAAGAGAGAGAAGGGGGGAGCACCGCGGCCCAACCGCUCGACGGCGGCGCACUCACCCCAAGGGGAACGCCCCACCGGCGAAGGGAUCGGCAACGGUGCCGCCACUCCACGCCGUCGGGCGCUGCAAGGGAGCAGAGGGGGCCUUGGCCUCGCAUCUUUCUCUCUGUCUAAGGAAGAAAAGGGGAAGGGAAAAGUGGAGAAUGGGUGCUCGCGCGCCGCCGUGGAGACGCCGUCGCUGGCGGCCGACGGGGCCCUCGGCGUCUCUCUCUUUUUCUCUGUCGCAGGAGACGGAGGAAGAAAGAGAUGGAAAAAGAAAAGGAAGGAAGGGAGCUCGAGCGGCGCAGCACGGCGCGGUGGUGCGUCGCCGUCGCCGGCGACCGGGCGCGGCGCGGUGGCCUGACGCGGUAGCGACAGGAGCGAGAGGAGGGAGCGGCGCACGGGGGGAGAAACGGACUAGGUUAGCCCCGAGCGGCGCGGGGGGAUGGCUUCUUGAUCCAGCGAACGGUGCGCUGGACCGUCGGAUCGGAUCCGACGGCCACGACGCCAACCCUAGCCGGCUGCGGGCCUCUCGGCCGAAAGAAGAAAGAGGCCGGCUCACGCGCGCGCUGGGCUGCUGCCACUGGCAGGCCGCUGGGCCGAAAGGGAGGCCGCAGCCGCGGGCUGGGCCGAAAUGCAACGCGGCUGAGCUGCCCGUUUUUCCGUGUUUUAAUAGUUUUUGUCCAGUUUUGGACAAAUUUCAUACAGUUUGGCUAUACAAAAUUAUUCAAAGAAAAAUUUUGUUUAGAGUACAGAAAAGUAAAAUAAAAAGUUCUGAAAAGGAAAAUAUAAAUGUUUCUGAAAAUGAAAAUAAAAAAUUUCAGAAAAGAAAUGUUCAUGAAUUUUACAAAGAAAAUAAUAAAGUUCAUGAAUUUUUAUUUGGUCAAAGAAAAGUUUCUGUAAAGAAUAAAAAGUCAUGA